CUCUCUUAGUGUCUUCUCGGAGAAGCUUUGCCUCGGGUAAUACCCCCCUCUCUCGAAGCAUCCAAGUCAAUCAAACGAUUCAAACCUCGCAAGUUGCAGCCCCAAUCUAUCUUUACAUGUGUUUCUCUUUUCUCAGUCCAUCUUCUUCUUAGAUAGCAUGGGUUCCAUACCUCUCCCUCCCCAGUGGGAUACCUGAAUGGACGAUGGGGUGUCUCUUUUCUUAGAUAGUUAGACAGCAAGGGUCCGUGCCUCUCCCUCUCCAGUGGGAUACUUGAAUUGUUUGGCUACAAUGGGGGUUUCACAUUUGUUCCCUCCAUUCCUUCUUCUUACAAUGGAUGUUAUUUUUAUGGAUUUGAGGUCGCUCUAGGCUGUUUUCCUGCUUGCCUCGGAUGUCUUUCCUCUAUUUCACUUGGGGUUUUGUUUCUACCAUUGGGUUCUCCUCCUCCUUUUUUCUUCUACUAAGGGAGUUUGUUUUCAUGCUCGAAGUAUGUUUGUGCUCUUUCCCAAUGGAUUUUGAUGCAACUUUAUGUUACAACUUGUUUUGAUCGCUAGCCAUUUGUUGGGCAUGGCUAAGGACGCUCGACAAUUGCCAACAGGUUUCUUAUCACUUCACCUUUUUAUUACAAGGGUCCUUCCAUUUUUCGACUUACCCAUUUUCAGAGAGCUCCAUUCAGCUAAUCAUCAAUGAACAUCGAGCUUGGGUGUGGACCUUAACUGAAUGAGCAAUGAUGUUGCGCAAUCCAGCUACUCCCAGUUGGAGGUGAUUUGGCUUCCAGUAGACGACGGACUCAGUUGAUUUGCAAGAGGCGAAUCAAAGAACCCGGGGUUGCUUACCCGGCAAGGUCGCUCCGAUGCUUAAGUCAGUACUUGGUUGCGAGUUGAUAGUAGUUUAGAAUGCAAGAGGGCUUGAGAGCAGAGAUUAUGCGUACCUUUCACCCUCGGGGAGUGGAGCACUUAUAUAGUAGAGCCUUCGCGGGUUUCGCGGAGCAGUUCCAGGAUCCUCGUUACGAUGAGGUCCGUUUUCGCAUUAAUUGGGAUAACGCUACCAACUGAUAAGAUUCAUCACUUUCGCCCGAAUCGGACGGGGGAGAUAAUGCUAGCUGUUACGAGGCGUGAUCCCGUUAGGCGUGGAAUCUGGUGGCGAGAUCUUCGUGGUUGCCAUGCAGUGGUCGGUUAAUAUUACUCGAGCUAGUGCCCUUUGGAUCUGACUUGGUACGAAUGCUGAAGUGCCUUGGAACCAAGGUGGUCCUGAUGCGAUUGUGCCCCGAGGUGAACUUUUCCCGAGGCGGACUUGCCCCGAGGUGGUUCGGUUAUUCGAGCUCGAUCCAUUGCAGACUUGGUGUGUCGGACUAAGCUGUCAUCGUGCUAGUUAGGUCGUGUCCACGUGUCCCCCUAUUACUAGGUUGGGCCAAAUCACCCUUCAUUAAUUGCUUUCACUCCUCGAGCCAAGGGUCUUGACCCGGUGCGGGGAGUUCAUGACGAGCCAAGUGGAUUUGGUCCAAGGUCUAGGCAGCUAGCCAGAUGAAUCAUGGGUCGGACUUGUUCGUCCACCCGGUUCAAUCAGGAAAAUCCAGGUUGCGUCUGGCCUAUGUGCAGACAUUACACGAUCUAUAAACUCUGCGGACGUCCAAAAACGCGUUGAACCGAUUUUAUCCUCGAGGGUCACGUAAUCGGUUUUCCUAGGAGCCGUUGGAUUGUUUCGAUCUCGACCGUUAGUUCUCGGACAUAGCGGUUAUAAAUAGGGGGGUCCGUGACUCAUUUUUCUCGCCACAAAUUUAAUGAUUGGUAUCUUCUGAGGUCAUGUCAGAGUCUUUCAACUCGCUUUCUCUUUGUGUUCCGAGGUCGUCAUUCUCUUUGGCGAGUUUGUGUUUUCCUUCGUUUGCUUCUCUUUUGCUUUUUAAUCAUGUCUAGUUCUAGAGUAGAUAGGCUUUUAGGUAGUUCUAUUGAGGUUGAGGGUGCCGUGGUGCAAUCCGCGGCCCCUGCUGGGGAGGUCAGCUCGCCGCUGGGUGACUCCCCUCUUCAGUCUUUAGAGGAAACUUCCCUUUUUGAAGUUGAGCCAUCUUGGUUCGGGGAGACCGAGGUUCGGGAAGAGGGUCCGUCCUCUAGAACGGAGGCCCCGUCUUCUUCCCAGGUUCGGGAUCCAGAUGAUUUCGGUCUUUCUACUAUGACCUCGGAUAAGCUAAUGUACUUAGUAGCUCGCUAUCGUUUUCCCGAUAGUUUGGUCUUUAGUCUUCCCCUAGGUCAAUAUCCUUGGGCUCAUGAUUACCAUGAGCUCGCGGUCUUUGAGGAGUAGCUCGCGGUCGGGCUGCGCUUUCCUCUUCACCCUUUCAUCAUAGAGGUAGUUAAGUUUUUUAAUAUUACCAUCGAUCAACUACAUCCAAACUCUAUCCGGAGUAUAGUUGGUACUAUCUCCUUGUUCCAUAUGUAUAGUUGGCCUCUGUCCCUAGAUACCUUCAGUUCGAUCUGUGCGAUCAAGCGAAAUUCUACUUGUCUGUGCGGGCUUGUCAGACAAAGCUAUUACAUCUCACCUCGACAUGGGUUCAAAAUCCUGUUCGGCUGCCCGAACAAGGUUCCCGCCUGGAAGAGGAGGUACUUUAUUGUCCGAAAUCCUAAAGGUGGUCUUUUCUAACUCACUAGAGGGUGACUAUCAAGGAUCCUGGGGUGAGCUUGGAUGCAGAAACUAGGGCAGUCGUCAACUCGUGGAGGGACCUCUGCCUCGGGAUGAAAGAUUUCUUGGUUGAGGAGAAGCUUGUGCGAGUUGGUCUGAGCCCUCUUGGUAGGUUUCCACCUUGGUUUUUUACUUUAAAGUUCUUUUUAGUUUGCAGCUAACCUUUUGCUCUUGUAGUUACCAUGACGGAGGUCGAUGCUGAGAACCUUCUCAAGAGCUCUCAAAGAGGGAAGAAGAGGAAGGCUUCGAAGAAGCUUCGCCGGGAGGUCGGUCCUUCAGCCCCUACCCCAUCCGAAGUCUUGGCCGUGGAGCCGAUCUCGGCCGAGCUCCUCGAGGAGGAGGUUCAUCCUCAACCCCCCGUGGUGGACUUGGAUGAUGACUAGGAGGAGGAUGCUUGGCCUCACGAACUGGGGAGCACUUAUGUACCCAACCAGGAAAGCGUCCAACCUCACAGGCCGAAAAGCGCUUCUGCACCGAGGCCCAAGUCCUCCAAUGAGAGCAUAAUGACUCUUCGGCUCGCAAUAUGCAAGAGUAGGGAUGCCGUCUUUCUUGACGAGGUCGCAGAGUGGGUUGACAUGUCUACAGCCAUGCUCGGAGCUUGAGCUGUCGGUUACUGCAUGGUGGUGAACUCUGCCAUUCAUUCGUUGAUGUGUCGGUUUGAGAUCCGCCUGAAGCAGGUCAAAAUGACGAGGAAAAGGCAUGACAACUUCAUCGCGAACUGGACCUUGCUCGGGGCAAGAUACUUCGGGCCAAGAAUGGAGCUCAAAGUCAGCAGGAGUUGAUCUUGGCCAUGAUUGAGGAGGAGAAGCAACAGGAACUAAUCUCCACACUGACUGAUGAAAAAAUGGGGCAACAAGAGAAAAUCUAUGUUGACCGAGGAGAAGGCAAAGCUUCAACAAGAGAUUGAGAAUCUCAAAGCGACGAUCCAGGAGCGGACUACGAUCUUUGAGACCGCCCUCCAAGAGGCGCGAGAAGAAAGAAGCCACGCCAUCGAACGCUUCAAGGAAUCCUCGGAGUUCCAUGAUCUCCAGGCCGAAUACGGGUCGAGAUUCUAUCGUUCCGGUUUCAAGCUGUGCAGGUACUUGGUGCGGCAAAAGUUCCCUGACCUUGAUCUCGGAGUCAUCACUAUGUCGGGCCUUACCCCCGAGGUGGCGAAGGUGACAAACGAAGAGCCCAACUUGUCAGAGGAGGAAAGUGACGAUGAAGUCGAAGAGGUGGGCUCCUCGGGUCAAGAGGAUGCGGGAGAGCACAUGGAGAUUGAUCCUGCUAACAGUCCUCAUGAGAAAUUUUGGCUUUUUGUUCUUUCUAUGUUUUGGAUGUACGCCCCGAGGCCACCGAGCUCGGGUUAUACUGAAACCUCUGAACUCACACUUUUUCAUCAAUGAAAUAUAAACUUUUCUGAGCAAUCCUUGUGCAAAAAUAUUCUAAGUGUAAAUAACUCCCGAUCUGGGCAACGAAUGUAUAGGUUACCUGAAUUGUCGAGCUAUCGAGCUGGACAACAAGUAAGGAUAACCAAAGUAAAAAUUUAUCUAAGUGUUUGUUACCCCGAAUUGUCUAUUUGGACUAUUAGUAGGGGCAACUUUACAUAGUGAACGUCGAGGUGAGCGACAUUGUAGGGUAUAUACCCGACCUGUCCGCGCACGGGCUACUCAUUUAAAUGUCGGUUGUCCCUAACGGGCCAAACCUGUUGAUAUAUGCCGAAGUGGGUUAGACAUCGUAGGGUUUAAACUCGAGCUGUAUACUCUUUAGGCAUUAAAAGUACUUUGCCUAUGUCGAAGAGGCGAUUAGGACUUAUAUGCCCAUGCCGAGGAGGCAAUUGGGACUUAUACGCCCAUGCCAAAGGAGCUACUGGGACUAGUUCGCCCAAGCUGAAGAGGCGACUGGGACUUAUAUGAUGCCGAUGUCUUUUAUCAACUUGACUCUUUUAGUCCUUGGACUUCUGGGAGUAACUCACAGUCCGCUUUCCAGUUUGACGAUCACAGGUAGUAUCGCCUUAAAUUGCUGACGUUACAUGCUCGAGGUACCUGUCUUCCUUCUAAGGUAUUGAGCUCGUACGUACCUUCCCCGAGUACCCGCUUUAUUCGGUAGGGACCUUCCCAGUUUGGUCCGAACUUUUCGACACCGGGCUCAGACACCAUAACUUUUCGAAAGAUCAGGUCUCCGACACGGAAGUGCCGCUUCUUGACCCUAUCGUUAUAGUACUGAGCCACUCUUUGCUGGUAAAUUGCGGUCCGGAUAUAUGUGAGGUCCCGUACUUCCACCAGGUCGAGGUUGGUACGGAGCUAGUCAUCGUUGGUUUCUUCGUCGUAUGCCUCUAAGCGUAAUGUAGGCACCUCGGUCUCGGCUGGGAUUACCGCGUCCGUGCCAUAGGUGAGGUUGAAGGGGGUUUCACCUGUGGCGGUCUUCACUAUAGUUCGGUAGGCCCAUAAUACACUGGGUAGCUCGUCUACCCAUAGUCAUUUAGCUCGGGCUAAGCAGGCUUUUAGUCUACGGAGUAUUGCUCUGUUUGUGACUCCCACCUGCCUAUUUGCUUGAGGGUGUGCCACCGAAGUGAAAUUCUGUUGUAUCUCCAUCUCGGCACACCAAUUUUGAAACUUGAUAUCUUCGAAUUGCUUACCGUUGUCAGAGAUAAGCACCCGGGGUAGUCAGAAGCGGCAUACUAUACUCCUCCAAAAGAAGUUUUGUACACUUCGUGCUAUGAUUGUUGCUAGGGGUUCCACCUCCACCCACUUCGUGAAGUAAUCCACUACUGCCACCAAGAAUCUCCUCUGUCAUGUCGCUGGCGGGAAUGGUCCAAGAAUGUCAAUUCCCCACUGUGCGAAGGGCCAUGGGCUAAUGAGGUACUUCAGGUCGGCAACAGGUUGGUGGUGGAUGUUGGAGUGCCUUUGGCAUUUGUCGCACUUCUUGACAAGCUCGAGCGCGUCUGCCUUCAUCGUGGGCCAGUAGUACCCCUGUCGUAGCGCUUUCUGGGCGAGGGCCCUGCCCCCUAAG